AUUGAACGCUGGCGGCAGGCUUAACACAUGCAAGUCGAGCGGGGGAAGGUAGCUUGCUACCGGACCUAGCGGCGGACGGGUGAGUAAUGCUUAGGAAUCUGCCUAUUAGUGGGGGACAACAUCUCGAAAGGGAUGCUAAUACCGCAUACGUCCUACGGGAGGAAGCAGGGGAUCUUCGGACCUUGCGCUAAUAGAUGAGCCUAAGUCGGAUUAGCUAGUUGGUGGGGUAAAGGCCUGCCAAGGCGACGAUCUGUAGCGGGUCUGAGAGGAUGAGCCGCCCAGCUGGGACUGAGACACGGCCCAGACUCCUACGGGAGGCAGCAGUGGGGAAUAUUGGACAAUGGGGGGAACCCUGAUCCAGCCAUGCCGCGUGUGUGAAGAAGGCCUUAUGGUUGUAAAGCACUUUAAGCGAGGAGGAGGCUACUCUAGUUAAUACCUAGGGAUAGUGGACGUUACUCGCAGAAUGAGCACCGGCUAACUCUGUGCCAGCCGCCGCGGUAA
rnacentral:rRNA from 1 species